AUGGCAGCCCUAGCAGACUUAUAUGGGAUUCAACCCAAAUGGUCUGGGUCCCUGCAACAUAAUCUCCUCCCUCAUCUUCCUCCCAGAUCUUCAGUCACGUCUGUGAAGAGCCACGAUGCCUUGUGUGGGGUGUGCAAUUUACGGACCUUGAAGAGGAGGCUACGUUUCAUGUGCGGGUCAAUGCAGCCAAGACCUGUGAGACAAUCCAAGAACAGACGAGGAGAGAGGCGACUUCGAGCACUUCAACUCUCUCACAGCAACCCUCAGCAGCCCUCUGGGCUUUUUCCGGGAGGAGCUUCUCCCAGCUGGCUGUUGCCCUUUCAGCUUGGGCCUCAGAGUGAGCACGUAUGGAGCAGACCUGAGUCCAAUCUGCAGCAAGGAGACAAGCCCAGCUGGACUGCAAUAUGAUGCAAAGCUGCCCAGGAUAAAGGCUGUCUGCUCUACAGGCCACAAUAGCUCCACGUGAUGUUGAUUUCUGCCUGCUGUGGGUGAGGCUCGCUGCUUCUCCAGGAUUUCCAUUUUCAGCUGAGUGUUUGGUGAAGAUGGUAAAGAUGAUUCCCUACAGCUCCAGGAAGAAGUAAUUUCUGGGUUUUGUUAUUUUUGGAAAACUUGUUCGUAUGCCUCAUUGCUGGUUAAAUAGAUAAGCCGUCUGCCUGCGAGGAGAUUUCCGUGCAUCUGACGGGCUUCCUGGAAGUGAUGCAUAAUGCCGCUUUAAAUAUUAUGAGUCUUAAGGAAUUGCUUUAAUCUGAUUGUCGCAAACAGAAUUCGCCUUCUUUCAGACCUGGAUCAAGCAGUUCACGUUAUAAAGACAUGUGUUACCUGAAAGCAUGAAUAACCGUAUGUCAUCUGGUUUUACCCACUUCGGGACAAUAAAAGACCCUCAGUUCAUCA
rnacentral:lncRNA from 1 species